UACGGGGGGGCAAGCGUUGUUCGGAAUUACUGGGCGUAAAGGGCUCGUAGGCGGCCAACUAAGUCAGACGUGAAAUCCCUCGGCUUAACCGGGGAACUGCAUCUGAUACUGGAUGGCUUGAGUUCGGGAGAGGGAUGCGGAAUUCCAGGUGUAGCGGUGAAAUGCGCAGAUAUCUUGAGGAACACCGGUGGCGAAGGCGGGUCUCUGGGCCGAUACUGACGCUGAGGAGCGAAAGCGUGGGGAGCGAACAGG
rnacentral:rRNA from 1 species